rnacentral:rRNA from 1 species
AGCGAACGCUGGCGGCAGGCCUAACACAUGCAAGUCGAACGAACCUUUCGGGGUUAGUGGCGGACGGGUGAGUAACACGUGGGAACGUGCCUUUAGGUUCGGAAUAACUCAGGGAAACUUGUGCUAAUACCGAAUGUGCCCUUCGGGGGAAAGAUUAAUCGCCUUUAGAGCGGCCCGCGUCUGAUUAGCUAGUUGGUUGAGGUAAUGGCUCACCAAGGCGACGAUCAGUAGCUGGUCUGAGAGGAAGAUCAGCCACAUUGGGACUGAGACACGGCCCAAACUCCUACGGGAGGCAGCAGUGGGGAAUCUUGCGCAAUGGGCGAAAGCCUGACGCAGCCAUGCCGCGUGAAUGAUGAAGGUCUUAGGAUUGUAAAAUUCUUUCACCGGGGACGAUAAUGACGGUACCCGGAGAAGAAGCCCCGGCUAACUUCGUG